rnacentral:tRNA from 12 species
UGCGGGGUGGAGCAGUCUGGUAGCUCGUCGGGCUCAUAACCCGAAGGUCGUUGGUUCAAAUCCGGCCCCCGCAACCA